rnacentral:rRNA from 1 species
UACGUAGGGGGCAAGCGUUGUCCGGAUUUACUGGGCGUAAAGAGCGCGUAGGCGGUAGUUUAAGCGGUGUCUGAAAGCCCCCGGCUCAACCGGGGAGGGUGGUGCCGAACUGGGCUUCUUGAGGGCGAUAGAGGAGAGUGGAAUUCCGGGUGUAGCGGUGAAAUGCGUAGAGAUCCGGAGGAACACCAGUGGCGAAGGCGGGUCUCUGGGCCGUUACUGACGCUGAGGAGCGAAAGCGUGGGGAGCGAACAGG